rnacentral:rRNA from 1 species
AUACGGAGGGUGCAAGCGUUACUCGGAAUCACUGGGCGUAAAGCGCAUGCAGGCGGUCUAAUAAGUUGGAAGUGAAAGCCUAUGGCUCAACCAUAGAACUGCUUCCAAAACUGUUAGACUAGAGUCUGGGAGGGGAAGAUGGAAUUAGUAGUGUAGGGGUAAGAUCCGUAGAGAUUACUAGGAAUACCAAACGCGAAGGCGAUCUUCUGGAACAGUACUGACGCUGAGAUGCGAAAGCGUGGGGAGCAAACAGGAUUAGAUACCCUAGUAGUCC